rnacentral:rRNA from 1 species
CAGUCGCCACGGUAAUACGUAGGGUGCAAGCGUUAAUCGGAAUUACUGGGCGUAAAGCGUGCGCAGGCGGUUUGUUAAGACAGAUGUGAAAUCCCCGGGCUCAACCUGAGAACUGCAUUUGUGACUGGCAGGCUAGAGUAUGGCAGAGGGGGGUGGAAUUCCGCGUGUAGCAGUGAAAUGCGUAGAUAUGCGGAGGAACACCGAUGGCGAAGGCAAUCCCCUGGACCUGUACUGACGCUCAUGCACGAAAGCGUGGGGGGCAAACAGGAUUAGAUACCCCAGUAGUCCCUGUCUCUUAUAC